GCCAAUGGCAGAAGAAAAAGGCAGGGUCAUCCCUGGCUUCCUAGAAUUUCUAUAGACAGACUGUGCAUGAGAGAGAGGGAGGGAGGGAGAGAGGGAGACGGAGACGGAGACAGAGACAGGGCAAGGAAAAGGCUCCAGGCUGAGAUUUUUUUUCUUUUUUAACAGCACAACAAAAGGAACUUUAUGGAGAAAAUACAUCUAUGUGGUCACUAAGAAUCAACAACAACUGGAUGGCACCUAUUCAAUCAAAUUCAGACUGAAGGAACUAAGUAGAAGAGUCCAAUGGGAAUUCCACAGAUGGAUCAAAAAAGGAUUACAGUGACUCAUAACUUGAGCCUCGGUUCUAAGAGGUUUCACCACAUGAACUUCUGAGAUCAUCAUCACUCUUGGACUGCAGAAAUGAAGUGAGGCACAUUCUGGCCAUUGUGACCAACCUGAAAUGAAGAGCCUCUGAAGAACUGCCCUUUUUGCCAGGAAGAACACAAUAAGAAGAGGAAGAUCAACUGGACAAAGAAGAGGCAUUUGCAGGACAUUUGCCUUGCUUCAUUGCUAUUUGAAAGAAUAUGUAACUACCAGUAUCUCUGGAACUAGAGAAUUGAAGAAAUUUAGGCAAGAAAAACCAAAAGCACAGCUUUUAAGUUAUUCUGAGUUACUUCAAUCAUUUGAUUCAAAAGUGGACUACGUGUUGAUACUUCAAAGUAAGUUUGAUUAGUGAUCCUGCUAGGGCUGCCAUCAGAGAUCUUUUGGCUGCUGACCAAAGAAAAGGCCUUAUUGAUUGCAUUGCUCUCUUUGCUAGCUGCUCUUCCAAGGAAGCUCACCUGCUGCCGAAUUCCAUUACCUUUUUUUUUUUCUUUACUCAGGGCUUUUAGUUUUGAUGUUAUUGUUUGUAUUGCUUUUUUUAAUCAUUUAAAAUUUCAGAGGACACACUUGGACAUAGCACUAUCACUUCUUUUGGUCACUGACUCUUAAUAGGAGGGAUUCCCCCCCCAUGUUAAAUUGGAACCUGUCUUCUUUUUUUUUUUUUUAAUUUGAUUUAUAUGCCGCCCUUCUCCGGAGACUCAGGGCGGCUUACAAUGCGCUAAGCAAUAGCCUUCAUCCUUUUGUAUAUUUAUACAAAGUCAGCUUAUUGCCCCCACAACUGGGUCCUCAAUUUACCUACCUUAGAAAGGAUGGAAGGCUGAGUCAACCUUGAGCCUGGCGAGAUUCGAACCUGCAGUAAUUGCAGGCAGCUGGUCUUAAUGACAGGGUGCUUUAGACCACUGUACUACCAAGGCUCUCUUCUUGUAAUUGAAGUCCCUUUAUCCAUGGUUUGCACUCUGAAACAAUAAAAACAGGUCUUGGCUUUCUUCUGUGGUCUAAGUGCUGAAAUGCCCUACCAUGUCCUUCAUUCUCUUUUUUCAAAGCUGAAUAUACCCAGCUCCUUCAAUCUUCCUUGAUAGAACUAGGGUUCCGGUCUCCUGAUCAUCCUCAGUAUCAAAAGUUCCAUUGUUCUGAACCUUCCUUAAAAGGAGUGCCCAAACCAGGCACAAUAUUUGUGGUGGGAUCUAGUAAAUGCCCCUAUAAAGUGGAGUGAUUCUUUCCUGUGAUUGGAAAUGAUGCCCAUUUUUUAUUAAAAAAACAAAACAAAAACAAAUGCUGUAUUUUACCAAACUCUGGAAGUUCACUGAAAUUGGAAUAUAUGAUACUAAAUUUUAAACUAUUCUUAAAACAGUACUUAAAAUGUUUUUAAGCAACAUUUUUGCAUUCCUGUGGUACUGUCAAUUAUAGUGCAAACAAGGUGAAUGAACAUUGAAGACAACCAUUAGGAAUUAGGAAACGUUGGUGUACCACACGCUCCCAUGGCCAUGAAGGUUUGCCCAAAUGCUUCAGUGAUACUGAAAGAAGAAAUGUGUAGGAGAGACUGGCACUUUGAAAAGGACUGGUGGUGUAAACUUUGAGGGCCCUAUCAUGUGUGUAAUGGAGUAUUGCAUGUCCAGCUACUACCAGUGAGCUAUGUCAAUUUCACUUCAUUAUAUGAAAUAAAACUUUUAAAGCUCACCAAGAGGAAUAUAUUAAUAAAAUCCCUUUUUGAAAUUAAUUAUUGGAAAGAUGAAUGGUCAGCAAUUGUUUUAGCCGGCAAAUAAAACUGUAUUCUCUCAAGUAAUCAUUGAUUUGACUAUGUGCUAUCAAGUUGUUUUUAACAUCUAGUGACCACAGAUUUUGUUCCAAAUGAUUGUCCCUAAUCUGUUCUUUCAAAUCUCCCAAUAGUACACUCAUUGUCACUAUAACUAAACCCAUCCACCUUGUUGCUAGUCAUCGACUUCUUCUGUUUCCCUCUACUUUUCCCAGCAUUAGAGUCUUUUCCAGACACCUGGGUCUUUGCAUAUGUCCAAAGUAAGAUAAUUUGAGCCUGGUCAUUUGUGCCUUUAAUGACAAUGCUGGGCUGAUUUGUUUGAUGAUGUAUUAAUUAGUUUUCUUGGCUGUUCACAAUACUUUUGGAAGUCUUUUCCAGCACCAAAAUUCAAAAGUGUCAAUAUUCUUCCUAUCCUGCUUCCUAAAGUCCAACUUUUGCUUCCAUAUAUUUUCUAUGGGUUAUACUCUUAAUUUCUUGUAUUUUCCUGUUAUGCAUUAAUCUUCCAAUGAUACACACAUGCUCCCAGGUUCAGCAUAUGGUCACUCAUGGUCCUGGGACAUGUAUAUUCGCCUUCAUUUACUGACAAACAUAUUUACAGCCCUGGAAAAUUGCCAUGCUCAAAUCACUUUCAACUGAACAACUGAGGCACAACUGGUUGUUUAGAAUAGAUGGAGCAAUACUUAUUUGAGUUGUUGUAUGCUCUGAUGGG